GCGCACGCUGGCGGCCUGCCUCACACAUGCAAGUCGCACGGGGGGGCUUCGGCCUCCCAGUGGCGGACGGGUGAGGAACGCGUAGGGACCUGUCGAGGGGUGGGGGAUAACCGCGGGAAACUGCGGCUAAUACCGCAUGACGCCGCGGCGUGACAGCCGGGGCCAAAGGCGAAAGCCGCCCGCCGAGGGGCCUGCGUCCGAUUAGCUGGUUGGCGGGGUAGCGGCCCACCAAGGCGUCGAUCGGUAGCUGGUCUGAGAGGGUGAUCAGCCACACCGGGACUGAGACACGGCCCGGACUCCUACGGGAGGCAGCAGUGGGGAAUAUUGGACAAUGGGCGCAAGCCUGAUCCAGCAAUGCCGCGUGGGUGAAGAAGGUCUUCGGAUUGUAAAGCCCUUUCGGCGGGGACGAUGGUGACGGUACCCGCAGAAGAAGCCCCGGCUAACUUCGUG
rnacentral:rRNA from 1 species